rfam:Oryza sativa Japonica Group DNA, chromosome 4, cultivar: Nipponbare, complete sequence.
UUUAAGUACAAUUAUGAGUUUUCAUGCUCAAUUUUAAUAUUUCGUCUUAUUUGAAAAAAAAUAUGAUAAUUAUUUUUUUAUGAGAUAAUAAAACAUGAAUAAUACUUUAUUCAUAACUUAUGUUUUUAAUUUUUUUAAAAAAAAUUAAAUAAGAAGAAUGAUUAAAGUUGAGUGUGGAAAAUUAUGGCUGCACUUCAA